UAAAACGCAGAAUCAGUCAACUGUUUGACUCUGCGUCGAGGCCGGAGGCCAUGCCGAAGAGGGACGAACCGGAAAUCUUAAACGGUAUAGGAGGGGUGAAGGAGCGCAUCAAAAAUUGGGCUGCAGAAACAAGUUCUGAGGGUCCAAAGAUGGAGAAGAAGCCUCCGGCUACAUCCCGAGCACGCUCCAAGAGCUUUGAGCCUGCAACUUCUCCAACAGCAGUGAAAACACCAAAAACUUCAAAUCUCAGACUUUCUGCCGAAGAAAUGCCGCAGAGUCCGACUGUGGACCCCCCGUCAAAGGUCUCACCUGUUGAACAACCAACAAAGUCCCCAACAGAAAUGCUAAAACGUGUUCAAACUGAAAAGAAAUCAUCAGAAAGUGCUGCAGAGAGCCCACAAGAGGCGAACAAAUCAACGGAGGUUGACGUCCAGUUGCGCACCCCUAACCUGAGUGAAGACGUACCAAAGGAGAACAAUGUCAAACGUCGCUCUGUUCGCUUUGGCACCGUGCAGAGCGAUGAUGGUGGGCCUCCACUGAUCCUAGGCUCGGAUUCUGAUUCUGACACUGAAGAAGAAGAAGAAGAAGAAGAAGAAGACGAAGUAGAAGAAGAAGAAGAAGAGGAGGAGGAGAGUCCUGGAUUUACAGCUGAAAAGGAAGUCCCUGAUGUAGUGCCUGUCUAUAAAAGAGUAGGAAUUUUUCAGAAAAAUUAUGAUGAGAGUCAACGGCAAGAAGAAGAAAGAAAGAAACAUCUGGAAUUUGAAGAACGGCGGCGAGCAGAGGAGAAGGAACAAGCAAGGCUUCAGCUAGAACAGGAGCAGAAAAGAGUGGAAGAAGAGAAGGAAAAAGAAAGGGAAAGACAGAGGGAAGAGCUCAGGCUUAAGGAAGAGGAGAGGGCAAGGCAGAAAGAGGAGCAAAUUAAACAAGAGAUGGAGGAGAGGGAAAGGGAGAGGCUAAAGGAAGAGGAGAGACUGAGGGAGGAAAGAGAAAGACAGAGACUAAAAGAAGCGCAAGAGAGAGAGAAAGAGCUGAAGCUGAAACAGGAAGAGGAGGAAAGAGAGAAGGCAAGACAGAUAGAGGAAAGACUCAGAGAAGAACAGAGAGAGAAAGAACGAUUAAAGGCAGAGGCUGAGGAAAAGCAGAAGGCUAUUCGCAGGAAGCAGGAAGAGUUGUUGAGGGAAAGACUGAGACAGGAGGAUGAAGAGAGAAAAAGAAGGGAACAGGAGAGGAAAAUACAGCAGGAAAAAGAGGCAGAGAUGGAGAGGAAGAGGCUAUUAGAAAAACAGAAAGAAGAGGAGAGAAAGGAAGAGGAAAGCAGGAGGCAGAUUGAAAAAGAAAAAAUGGAGCUGGAGAUGAAAAUACAGAAGGAAAAGGAGGAAGAGAUGGAGAGGCAGAGGCUGUUAGAAAAACAGAAAGAAGAGGAGAGAAGGGAAGAGGAAAGAAGGAGGCAGAUUGAAAAAGAAAGAAUGGAGCUGGAGAUGAAAAUACAGAAGGAAAAAGAGGAAGAGAUGGAGAGGAAGAGGCUGUUAGAAAAACAGAAAGAAGAGGAGAGAAGGGAAGAGGAAAGAAGGAGGCAGAUUGAGAAAGAAAGAAUGGAGCUGGAGAUGAAAUUACAGAAGGAAAAGGAGGAAGAGAUGGAGAGGCAGAGGCUGUUAGAAAAACAGAAAGAAGAGGAGAGAAGGGAAGAGGAAAGAAGGAGGCAGAUUGAGAAAGAAAAAAUGGAGCUGGAGAUGAAAAUACAGAAGGAAAAAGAGGCAGAGAUGGAGAGGCAGAGGCUGUUAGAAAAACAGAAAGAAGAGGAGAGAAGGGAAGAGGAAAGAAGGAGGCAGAUUGAAAAAGAAAGAAUAGAGAAGCAGGAGCAGGAGAGAAAAAUGCAAGAGGAACUGGAAAGAAGGCAGGCAAACCAACUCAAAGAAAAGCAAAGACUGGAGGAAGAGAGAGAAACAAAACAAUCCGGGUUGAACAACAUGCAAGAGAAGAGUUUGAUGCACAAAGCAGAGUCAAAUCUAAUCAGUUUUGAAGCUGAAGAUUGGCCUCAGGAGUCAAAGUCACCACUUUCCCCCUCACCAAACACCUCUGGGCCCACAGAGAAUCUGAUGAAUGUGGUUUAUGAUGACUUCUCGGUCAAACAGAAUCCGAUCGACAUAGAAUUUGAUGAUUUUUCAGUCAAACCGAUAAAAGUGACGUCACGG
ensembl:lncRNA